rnacentral:rRNA from 1 species
GACGAACGCUGGCGGCGUGCCUAAUACAUGCAAGUCGAGCGAAGCGGCGGAUGGGUGAGUAACGCGUGGGUAACCUGCCCUUCAGUCUGGGAUACCCUUUGGAAACAGAUGCUGAUACCGGAUACUAAAGGAUGGACCUGCGAUGCAUUAGCUAGUUGACAAGGUAACGCCUUACCAAGGCGAUGAUGCAUAGCGGCUUUGAAAGACUGAUCGGCCACAUGUGGACUGGGACACGGCCCAAACUCCUACGGGAGGCAGCAGUAGGGAAUCUUCCACAAUGGACGAAAGUCUGAUGGAGCCACGCCGCGUGAGUGAAGAAGGUUUUCGGAUCGUAAAGCUCUGUUGUUGGUGAAGCGGUAAUCAACCAGAAAGUCACGGCUAACUACGUGCCAGCCGCCGCGGUAAUAC